CCUGCCGUCUACUCUUGGCCAGCCUUCUGAAAGGAAGAUUAAUCCAGGAUGGGAUCAUGAGUUCACAUGUCCGCAUGAUUAAAGGUAUUUUCCGGUAGACGAUGGGGAUGCGUUCCAUUAGAUAGUAGGCGGGGUAACGGCCCACCUAGUCAACGAUGGAUAGGGGUUCUGAGAGGAAGGUCCCCCACAUUGGAACUGAGACACGGUCCAAACUCCUACGGGAGGCAGCAGUGAGGAAUAUUGGUCAAUGGGCGAUGGCCUGAACCAGCCAAGUAGCGUGAAGGAUGACUGCCCUAUGGGUUGUAAACUUCUUUUAUAAAGGAAUAAAGUCGGGUAUGCAUACCCGUUUGCAUGUACUUUAUGAAUAAGGAUCGGCUAACUCCGUGCCAGCAGCCGCGGUAAUACGGAGGAUCCGAGCGUUAUCCGGAUUUAUUGGGUUUAAAGGGAGCGUAGAUGGAUGUUUAAGUCAGUUGUGAAAGUUUGCGGCUCAACCGUAAAAUUGCAGUUGAUACUGGAUGUCUUGAGUGCAGUUGAGGCAGGCGGAAUUCGUGGUGUAGUGGUGAAAUGCUUAGAUAUCACGAAGAACUCCGAUUGCGAAGGCAGCCUGCUAAGCUGCAACUGACAUUGAGGCUCGAAAGUGUGGGUAUCAAACAGGAUUAGAUACCCUGGUAGUCCACACGGUAAACGAUGAAUACUCGCUGUUUGCGAUAUACGGCAAGCGGCCAAG
rnacentral:rRNA from 1 species